UAUCCCUGACCUGGGUGGAGUGACACCUGGUUGGUGGAGCCCAUUUCAUAUCAGCCAGCGAUAAAUCAACCCUUUCUUUGUCCAGUUUGGCUUUUGGUUUGUGCCUAUGCCUGGUUCUUGCUUUGGAAACAUUU
rnacentral:snoRNA from 1 species